rnacentral:rRNA from 1 species
GGUGGCCUGUGAGGGUUGCUGGAGGUAUCAGAAGUGCGAAUGCUGACAUAAGUAACGAUAAAGCGGGUGAAAAGCCCGCUCGCCGGAAGACCAAGGGUUCCUGUCCAACGUUAAUCGGGGCAGGGUGAGUCGACCCCUAAGGCGAGGCCGAAAGGCGUAGUCGAUGGGAAACGGGUUAAUAUUCCCGUACUUGGUGUUACUGCGAAGGGGGGACGGAGAAGGCUAUGUUGGCCGGGCGACGGUUGUCCCGGUUUAAGCGUGUAGGUGUGUGUUCCAGGUAAAUCCGGUUCACUUUAACACUGAGGCGUGACGACGAGGCACUACGGUGCUGAAGCAACAAAUGCCCUGCUUCCAGGAAAAGCCUCUAAGCAUCAGGUAACAUCAAAUCGUACCCCAAACCGACACAGGUGGUCAGGUAGAGAAUACCAAGGCGCUUGAGAGAACUCGGGUGAAGGAACUAGGCAAAAUGGUGCCGUAACUUCGGGAGAAGGCACGCUGACACGUAGGUGAAGUGAUUUACUCAUGGAGCUGAAGUCAGUCGAAGAUACCAGCUGGCUGCAACUGUUUAUUAAAAACACAGCACUGUGCAAACACGAAAGUGGACGUAUACGGUGUGACGCCUGCCCGGUGCCGGAAGGUUAAUUGAUGGGGUCAGCGCAAGCGAAGCUCCUGAUCGAAGCCCCGGUAAACGGCGGCCGUAACUAUAACGGUCCUAAGGUAGCGAAAUUCCUUGUCGGGUAAGUUCCGACCUGCACGAAUGGCGUAAUGAUGGCCAGGCUGUCUCCACCCGAGACUCAGUGAAAUUGAACUCGCUGUGAAGAUGCAGUGUACCCGCGGCAAGACGGAAAGACCCCGUGAACCUUUACUAUAGCUUGACACUGAACAUUGAGCCUUGAUGUGUAGGAUAGGUGGGAGGCUUUGAAGCGUGGACGCCAGUCUGCGUGGAGCCGACCUUGAAAUACCACCCUUUAAUGUUUGAUGUUCUAACGUGGACCCGUUACCCGGGUUGCGGACAGUGUCUGGUGGGUAGUUUGACUGGGGCGGUCUCCUCCUAAAGAGUAACGGAGGAGCACGAAGGUUGGCUAAUCCUGGUCGGACAUCAGGAGGUUAGUGCAAUGGCAUAAGCCAGCUUGACUGCGAGCGUGACGGCGCGAGCAGGUGCGAAAGCAGGUCAUAGUGAUCCGGUGGUUCUGAAUGGAAGGGCCAUCGCUCAACGGAUAAAAGGUACUCCGGGGAUAACAGGCUGAUACCGCCCAAGAGUUCAUAUCGACGGCGGUGUUUGGCACCUCGAUGUCGGCUCAUCACAUCCUGGGGCUGAAGUAGGUCCCAAGGGUAUGGCUGUUCGCCAUUUAAAGUGGUACGCGAGCUGGGUUUAGAACGUCGUGAGACAGUUCGGUCCCUAUCUGCCGUGGGCGCUGGAGAACUGAGGGGGGCUGCUCCUAGUACGAGAGGACCGGAGUGGACGCAUCACUGGUGUUCGGGUUGUCAUGCCAAUGGCACUGCCCGGUAGCUAAAUGCGGAAGAGAUAAGUGCUGAAAGCAUCUAAGCACGAAACUUGCCCCGAGAUGAGUUCUCCCUGAGACUUAGAGUCUCCUGAAGGAACGUUGAAGACGACGACGUUGAUAGGCCGGGUGUGU